rnacentral:lncRNA from 1 species
UUCCAUUUCAUGUGUUUGGAUGCUUCCUUGUAGGAAGUUGGAUCCAAAUUGUUCUUUAUUGUUGUUAAAAAUGCAGAGUGUUCGGGGGUAAAGUAUUGAGAAGAGAGCAUGUUCUCAAUUGGGUGUCUAGUGGAUGCUGCUUGUAGAGAGAAGUCUUUUAAGUAUGAUGGUGUUUUCCUAUUUCUUUUUGGUCUUGGUGCAUCCUCUUCUGGGAUGCUUGGUGCAUUCUCUGUUUCAUGUUGUGUUUCUGGGAUUAUUGGUGUGUCCUCUUCUUGUGAAGGAGGUGUGAGUGUGUAUGUGUUCUCAUCUGAUCUGUUGUCUGUCUCUGAUGUAUCAAAG